UAGCUACUCGGAGCAAAUCUGAUAUACUGUGACCUCUUCUGGAAACUUAUGCUUACUCGGAGCACAACAAUCGAUCACAAGCAAAUACCAUAAGAACCAGGAAUUCAAACUUUCUUAGCCAAGCGGCAAGAUAUUAAACCAAAACUGUAGCCAAAAUAUUGAAGGGCCAAUUCAUCCGAGUAAACCUGGAGCUUAAUCACAACAUAAGUGGCAA
rnacentral:lncRNA from 1 species